AUGAACGCUGGCGGCGUGCCUAAUCCAUGCCAGUCGAGCGAACGGACGAGAAGCUUGCUUCUCUGAUGUUAGCGGCGGACGGGUGAGUAACACGUGGAUAACCUACCUAUAAGACUGGGAUAACUUCGGGAAACCGGAGCUAAUACCGGAUAAUAUUUUGAACCGCAUGGUUCAAAAGUGAAAGACGGUCUUGCUGUCACUUAUAGAUGGAUCCGCGCUGCAUUAGCUAGUUGGUAAGGUAACGGCUUACCAAGGCAACGAUGCAUAGCCGACCUGAGGGGGUGAUCGGCCACACUGGAACUGAGACACGGUCCAGACUCCUACGGGAGGCAGCAGUAGGGAAUCUUCCGCAAUGGGCGAAAGCCUGACGGAGCAACGCCGCGUGAGUGAUGAAGGUCUUCGGAUCGUAAAACUCUGUUAUUAGGGAAGAACAUAUGUGUAAGUAACUGUGCACAUCUUGACGGUACCUAAUCAGAAAGCCACGGCUAACUACGUG
rnacentral:rRNA from 1 species